rnacentral:misc_RNA from 1 species
GUAGGUGAACCUGCGGAAGGAUCAUUACAGAGAACUUGCCCUUCGGGGUAGAUCUCCCACCCUUUGUUUACAAUACCAUUGUUGCUUUGGCAGGCCCGUCUCCGGACCACCGGCUCCGGCUGGUCAGUGCCUGCCAGAGAACCCAAAACUCUUUAUAAUUUAUUGUCUGAGUACUAUAUAAUAGUUAAAACUUUCAACAACGGAUCUCUUGGUUCUG